CUGUCAGAGACAAGCAUUGUGGUUAAACAAAAAUAAACUAUGUCUUUGCUUUGUAGUGAUUACUGGAUCUUUAGAAGAAGAAUGCAUCUGACAGAAAGGACUUCCUCCAGAAGAACAACAUCUAUUUUUUAGAGCAUGUCCUGAUCUAAGCCAAUCAUUGGGAAUGAUUGACAAAAAACGUCUCAUAAAAAGAGAAAGACCCAGAACGGUCCGGAGGGUUGAUGUUUCUCAGCUGGGGGAUUUCCCUGGAGGAGCUGGACCAGGUGUCUGCUGACCCCGCCACYGACCCCGGAUAAGGGAGGAAUCUGCCUGUGGACAUGGGGGCUGGUCUAAUCCUGAACCAUCACCUCCCAACCAACUCGCCCUUUAAGGCACCAACUAAAGCCACCACCACCCAACAUACACUGUACUGGUAGGAUGUGUUGAUAAGAAAUCUGCUGAGUUAGUAUGUUUCCACGAGGUAGGACGGAUUCAUGGGUAGCACAGAUAGUUAGAACACCUGUGCGGCUGCAGUCACCAGAGCCCUGUUG